CCGCUGGCGGCAGGCCUAACACAUGCAAGUCGAGCGGAUGAGGGGAGCUUGCUCCCUGAUUUAGCGGCGGACGGGUGAGUAAUGCCUAGGAAUCUGCCUGGUAGUGGGGGAUAACGUCCGGAAACGGGCGCUAAUACCGCAUACGUCCUACGGGAGAAAGCAGGGGACCUUCGGGCCUUGCGCUAUCAGAUGAGCCUAGGUCGGAUUAGCUUGUUGGUGAGGUAAAGGCUCACCAAGGCUGCGAUCCGUAACUGGUCUGAGAGGAUGAUCAGUCACACUGGAACUGAGACACGGUCCAGACUCCUACGGGAGGCAGCAGUGGGGAAUAUUGGACAAUGGGCGAAAGCCUGAUCCAGCCAUGCCGCGUGUGUGAAGAAGGUCUUCGGAUUGUAAAGCACUUUAAGUUGGGAGGAAGGGCAGUAAGUUAAUACCUUGCUGUUUUGACGUUACCGACAGAAUAAGCACCGGCUAACUUCGUGCCAGCAGCCGCGGUAAUACGAAGGGUGCAAGCGUUAAUCGGAAUUACUGGGCGUAAAGCGCGCGUAGGUGGUUUGUUAAGUUGGAAGUGAAAGCCCCGGGCUCAACCUGGGAACUGCUUUCAAACUGGCAAGCUAGAGUAUGGCAGAGGGUGGUGGAAUUUCCUGUGUAGCGGUGAAAUGCGUAGAUAUAGGAAGAACACCAGUGG
rnacentral:rRNA from 1 species